AGUGAACGCUGGCGGUAGGCCUAACACAUGCAAGUCGAACGGCAGCACAGUAAGAGCUUGCUCUUACGGGUGGCGAGUGGCGGACGGGUGAGGAAUACAUCGGAAUCUACUUUUUCGUGGGGGAUAACGUAGGGAAACUUACGCUAAUACCGCAUACGACCUACGGGUGAAAGCAGUGGAUCUUCGGACCUUGCGCGAUUGAAUUAGCCGAUGUCGGAUUAGCUAGUUGGCGGGGUAAAGGCCCACCAAGGCGACGAUCCGUAGCUGGUCUGAGAGGAUGAUCAGCGACACUGGAGCUGAGACACGGGACAGACACCGAGGGGAGGCAGCAGUGGGGAAGAGUGGACAGAGGGGGCAAGACUGAUCAAGCCAUACAGGGCGGGUGAAGAAGGCCUUCGGGUUGUAAAGCCCUUUUGUGGGGAAAGAAAAGCAGCAGGUUAAUACCACGCUGUGCGGACGGUACCCAAAGAAUAAGCACCGGCUAACUUCGU
rnacentral:rRNA from 1 species